UACGUGUGAGGCAAGCGUUAUUCGUCUUUAAUGGGUCUAAAGGGUACGUAGGCGGUAUAUGUAAUCAUAUUAUUAAUCACAUGUGUGUGGAUUUGAUAUUUAUAUACUAGAGUUUGAAGGGAGUAACAGACACAACAAGAGUAGUGUAGUAAUACUAGUAUACUUGAGGGGUCUCAUAGCGGCGAAGGCGUGUUACUAUGUAAGACUGACGCUGAGGCGCGAAAGCGUGGGGAGCGAACAGG
rnacentral:rRNA from 1 species